rfam:Triticum urartu cultivar G1812 contig1212832, whole genome shotgun sequence.
CAAAUACUCCCUCUGUCCCAAAUUUCUUGUCUUAGAUUUGUCUAGAUACGGAUGUAUCUAAUACUAAAAUGUGACUUGAUACAUCCGUAUCUAGACAAAUCUAAGACAGUAUCUAGACAAAUCUAAGACAAGAAUUCCGGGAUGGAGGGAGUACUUU